AGUGUUUUCCUUUUUGUUCAUUUCCAGAGAACGUGAAGGAAUGGUUGUAAUGCCCUUUACUCUCUCUUCCUUCUUCUUCUACAGUGAAUUAACGUGAUAUUGGGGGUUAUAGAGUUCAAGAUUUUUUUUACAGUGGAGAGGCGUAUGACGUGGUCCCAAUUCGUUAGACAGUUGAUUAUGUUGGAGUAAUUUCUCAUCAUUUGAGUGGUUGGAGUUAUUGAUUGAUUGCGCAAAGACUACACUUGGGAGUGUUGAGUUGUUUGAAACUAGCGAUGCUACUGUUAGAUAAUGAGGUGUUCAAGGUAUGUAAAGCUAAACCCUCUUCCGUCGUUAAGGCACAACCCAUAAUUAUUUAUUUCUCCUAGCAGAGUCGAUAUAGCCUACUUCACAUACAGGAACGAAUAUCCCACCUUCUAUACGGCUAACACAUGUUCAUAUGCCUAAUGUCGCCACAGUGUUCACGUUUUCUUUCCACUUUAAAUUACUUGUCUCCAUCCUUCACGCGUCUAUUUAUUGAAGUCGCAACAUUCAUUUUACUCUUGUCAAGUCAAGUAUCUAUAGAGCAAUACAUGUUGUGUUAGUGCGUAUUAGAAGUUCUUAGAAUUCACAUGAUAUCUAUCACACGCUACAAUGUUUAGAAUAAGAAUAAAUGGCCAUAGUAUAUUCGGACUUGUAUGUUGAAUCACAUAGAAAUAUAGUCCUAGAAUAAUAUAAAGAACUAGUGUUGGAACAACUCAAUUCUAGUAAAUGAAUUAGUUGUACAUGGAAAAGUGUUACCUUAAUGACCGAACAACUUUUAUCAUGAUACACUUGCAUAGGCCAAUAAGGCACUACUUGAUACAGUUAACGACGGGAGGGUAUACAUAGGUUUGGCUUGGAAUAUCUCUCGACGUGAUUCUGUGCACAGGAUCGAGACCAGACCACUAUAGUGAGCCCAAACAUUGUGGUGUACCUGCCCUCGUGGCAUCAUUUGCAUUUGGAGUUAGCUGGGGGUGCCCCUGACUCGAGCCAAUAUAUGACACAUAUAGCUUGCGGGCAGACCCUUAUAGUGAGUCCCAAGGAGGGGCGUACCCUGUAUCAACCCGCGAUCACAGUUAUACGUAUAACAUCAUAGUCAGGAGUUGGAUAACACAUAUGGUACACUUGACGUAGAGUGCCCUUGGUGGGCCAUCAUAUGAUUAUUUGUAUUAAAAGUAGGCACAAGACAUCACUUAGGCAAAUUGCUAUACCCUUAAUAACAAUGAUUUAUUCAUAAGUGGUUAUAUGAUAAGUUAAUAAGAUAAACACAUAAGUAACAAUUUUAUAUGGAGUAUUUGUCACAUGUUCUUUCAUAAGUUAUAGUUUCCUAUAAGAGGUUUUAGUAUUCAGUUAUCCGCAGUUGCUCAUUCUAUUAUUUGACUUAUUGAGCAUCCCUAUACGUUUACUUGUUAUUCUGUCUUCUUUACAUACUAGUACAUAUUUUAUAUGUACAACGUCCCUACAUUUGGGGGCAUUGUGUUUCUGUAAAUACAGAAUCAGAUGUAUUGAUUAGCAGACUUCUAUACUAGACACUCAUCCAUAUUCAGCAAAGCAAUCGGUGAGCUCCUCUCUUACCUAGAGCGAACAAACGUCUAGGUACCUUUUAAUUAUGUUUUCGGUUAUAGUUUGGAGAUGUUGGUGUCCUGUCCCAACCACCUUCUCGUUACAGUUACAAUUUCUCUUAGAGGCUUCGUAGAUAGUGUUUAGUUAUCAUACGUGGUUAUAGUUGUACAUAACCCCGUAUCAUUGUUUGUAAAUUGCAACUCCGCAUAAUAUUUAUGUCAGCCACAUAUCUGACACUCAUAAGGUUCUUAUCGGCCAUGCCUUGGCUAGGCUAGAGGCGUGACAUGAAUGAUUUUACAAUUUAUUGUUUUAAAUAUAUUUGGCUCAUUGAAAUGGGGCACACUUGCAAUAUCAUUUUCAUUAUCAUAAAAUUAUCUCUCUUUUUAUUUUUUUUACUUUGGUUUUCAAGAAUGUUCCACACUGCUUCUUAAAUAUUCAACAUACUUAAUUUGUUUUUAAGAUUUUUGUUCAAUUCUAAUUAAACCGUCAUCUGAAUUUUUUCGAAACUAAAUAAUUAGUAAUUUUGGCUAAAAUUAAAAUAAAAUUUAUUUAACAGAUACACAUGAAAUAUUACUGCAAUUCAUGAAUUCUAUUACUUGUAGACACAUAAUUUUAUUCGUCCCAAAAAAUAAUAUUUAUCCAUUUGGCUUUCCCUAUCCUACCCCUAUCUAUCCUACCCCCUCGCUACCUGCCCCUACCCCAACUAAUCCUAUCCACUGACACACCUACGUGCACUCUCCAAUUUUGUCAACGCAAAAUAAAUACUUAUUUCUUUCAUUUAAAAAAGAAUGAUCUAGUUUAAUUUAGCAUAAAAUUUAAAAAUAUAAAAAAAAAAUUUUAAAUUUUAUGGUCUUAAAUUAAAGUUAAGUCAAAUGUACAUAAAUAUCUUUUAAUUUUGUAGUACUAAGUAUGUCAUGUAAAAAAUAAAAAAUAAAAUAUUAUCAACAAAAGAAAGAAACAUUUUUUUAUAAAACGUACUAAAAAGAAAAUUAAGUCAUUCUUCUUUAAACAAAGUGAGUACAAUUUUUUUUUCUCCGCACAUUUUUGACCAUCUACGUACACACAAAAAACACACACUCACUCACAACUCACUGGAAACAAAAAUUCUCACAUUCACAAUAAUAUACACAAACACCAUCACACAUUCUUAGAGACUCCGUUGAAGAACAUACUAUCACACACACCAAAAUUUCAUAGAAGACAAUUCCAUUCUCAUCUUCUACACAGAACACCAUACGCGCACACACACCUGUGAGAAAAAAUGGAGAUCGGAGAGAGAACGUGAGAGAAAUGGAGAGCUGGUCGGAGUGAGAGAGAAACGGAGAGAUCUGGAUGGAGGAGAAGAGAAAAACGAGAGAGAGGAUAGAUUGAGUGAGAGAGAAACGGAGUACACGGAGAGAUAAAGGCGGGCAAAUUGAAGGGCAGUCGGCGAAUUUCUCCCCAGAAAUACGUCGGCCCGCCACCGGUAAACGCCGUUGUCACCAUCCAUUGUUGGUCCGGCAAGACCCGCCGACAGACGGUCCAGCAGUCCUAUUUCCUUCUCAAAAUUAGUCCGGAUUCGGGUUGGUGUUAGUAUUUUGUGUGGAUUCGGGUAUCUUUAUUUCGGGUUUCUUAUAUUCUUCAUGGAUUUGUGUUCGAAUCAAAUUUUUGAAUGUGGUUUCUUGACACCGAUUGGAUUUGUUCCUUGUUGAGGUUCUUCAUUCGAAGAUUUCGAGUUCGGGCUUUAUCGGGCUUUAUUAUGCACUAUUACCAAUGAAAAACUCGUUCUUGUGAGGUUCAAUUUUCAACUCUACUCCUUUUAUUAUUUCAAUUGAUUGAUGAUGUGAUUUCAUUGUUUAUUUGAAUGUAUUUGAGCUUUCGUAAUUAUCGUGGUGACUAGUUAAUUUUAUAUUAAAAUUGGUUAAUUGUGGGGUUGAGAAUGAAUUCGGGGAGGGCUUGAUUUUGAUAAAAGUGAAAAUUGGUUUAGUUUUGAUCUAUUGAUUAUGGUUUAAUUUGGGAUAAAUAUUGAUCUUGGCUAAGCCCAAUAGUACCAUGUAUUAGGCCGAAAUUAGUAGGCAAAUUCUAAAUUGGAUAGGCAAAUCAUAGAAAUUGAUGAUUGAGGAAUAAUUGAAUUUUGUGCUUGAGAUUAUUUUAUAUUGUCGCCUGAAAUUGAAAAAUGUAUUUACUUAGUCAGAGAAUGCCCCGAGGUCAUUUAUAUUUAUUCACCGGGGAAUGUUUCGAAGUAUCUUGUACGCGAAAGAUGUUUAUGAUGAAGGUCUGAGGCGACGGAUAGAGUAUAGUUUAGGGUUAGUAUAGGUUAGUGUAGGUUUAUUUUAGUAUAUUUUAUUUCGGACUGUAAUAAUUGGACUGGAUACUAUUUUUUGGACUUGUUUGUUUCGUGUGUUUUAUUUGGUUUAUGCAUUUUAUAGUGUCGUAC